UACGUAGGGUGCGAGCGUUGUCCGGAAUUAUUGGGCGUAAAGAGCUCGUAGGCGGUCUGUCGCGUCGAUCGUGAAAACUUGGGGCUUAACCCUGAGCUUGCGGUCGAUACGGGCAUGACUGGAGUUCGGCAGGGGAGACUGGAAUUCCUGGUGUAGCGGUGAAACGCGCAGAUAUCAGGAGGAACACCGGUGGCGAAGGCGACUGCCUGGACCAGCACUGACACUGAGGCACGAAAGCGUGGGGAGCAAACAGG
rnacentral:rRNA from 1 species